rnacentral:rRNA from 1 species
GACAGUUUAAAUAAGUGUUAAAUGCUACAUUAAACUUCAUCACAUAUCACGCAUAGAUGAUUUUGUUUACAGUAGUAACAAUUUCCGCGUGAAUCACCCAUCACAGUGAAUCACUGAAAUUACCCAAUAUCAGUAUCACUUACGCAACUGCAGACAGCUGCUUAAUACAGUCACACUUGUCUUGACUUGGCGUAAUAAAAAUUUUCAUUGAAACACCCGCUCGCGGGCAUCGUUCGGUGAUUUUUUUUAUUUUGUUGCAUCACGCAUACAAAAUUUUUUGAUUUCUCUGUAUCGCUUAUUCUUAAGGACAUGCGUUACACCGUGACAAUUUCUUUAUGGAUAACUCAGGGAAAGUUUGGCUAAUACGUACGAGUAAUUUACCACACACACACACACACACUCAACAAUUCAAAAUUUUUUUGUAUUGCUGUGUAUCAACUACUACUCAGCACUCAAUGGUAAACUUUGGCUGCCCUCGCGCAGUCAGUUUAAAGUUUAACUGCAACAUGAGAGACAUUGAGCACGCACGUGUCGUGUCUUCGGACACUUCACAUCACGCUGAGCAGACUUUGCGAAGUUUACUUUGCGAAGCAUGUCAUACAAGCAUCUACAGCAUCAAGUCACAGGGUUGGCAAGUGUAUUUUUGAACCUUCAAAGCAGUCACGCAUACGGAAGAGUAGUUUCUGAUCCCAUAGAAGGAGCACCGUACAAUGAGAGACCGCUCUUAGUUCUAAGGAACGCAGCAGGCGCGUAAAUUGCCCAAUGCUAGUACCCUACAAUCAAAUUGUAUUUACAUGCGUUAACAAUUUACAACAUACAAGUUUUAAUGACAGACAUUAUAACACUUUCAUUUUUUCUGUUACAUUACACACAUAUAUAUCCUUGUUCGUUGUAUUCAGCAUCUAUAAUAUUAAUUUAUUAUUUUACUGAGGCAGUGACAAGCUGUAACGGUUGAGUAUAAAAAUGACGAGUGUCUGGCAUUGCCGCUCUUUCGGGAGCUUGGCAAGUUGCGGACGCUUUGUGUGCUCAAUUGGAAUGCGGUGAGUUUAAGCAACUCAGAACCUUUGGACGGUGUUAGU